rnacentral:rRNA from 1 species
CUCACCAAGGCAACGAUGCGUAGCCGACCUGAGAGGGUGAUCGGCCACACUGGGACUGAGACACGGCCCAGACUCCUACGGGAGGCAGCAGUAGGGAAUCUUCCGCAAUGGACGAAAGUCUGACGGAGCAACGCCGCGUGAGUGAUGAAGGUUUUCGGAUCGUAAAGCUCUGUUGUUAGGGAAGAACAAGUACCGUUCGAAUAGGGCGGUACCUUGACGGUACCUAACCAGAAAGCCACGGCUAACUACGUGCCAGCAGCCGCGGUAAUACGUAGGUGGCAAGCGUUGUCCGGAAUUAUUGGGCGUAAAGGGCUC